rnacentral:rRNA from 1 species
CAGUCGCCGCGGGAAUACGAAGGGUGCAAGCGUUAAUCGGAAUUACUGGGCGUAAAGCGCACGUAGGCGGCUUGGUAAGUUAGAGGUGAAAGCCUGGAGCUCAACUCCAGAAUUGCCUUUAAGACUGCCGAGCUAGCAGGUGAGAGAGGUAAGUGGAAUUCCGAGUGUAGAGGUGAAAUUCGUAGAUAUUCGGAAGAACACCAGUGGCGAAGGCGGCUUACUGGCUCAUACUGGACGCUGAGGUGCGAAAGCGUGGGGAGCAAACAGGAUUAGAUACCCCUGUAGUCCCUGUCUCUUAUAC